rnacentral:rRNA from 1 species
GGGUCCGGACACACUGAGGAUUGACAGGCGCUUGUAGUUAUGAGAUUAUUAAUUUAUUAAUAAUUAAAUUUCUGCUAUAAAUAUGCUAGUCCUUUCAUGAUUGUGUGAUAGGUGGUGCAUGGCCGUUCUUAGUUCGUGGAGUGAUCUGUCUGCUUAAUUGCGUUUCACUGUGGACAUUGUUAUAAUAGUGUGUGCACGCAUAACUUCGGUUAUGUUGUUGCCUACUGUUCCAAAUGUCCUGAAGGCAACGAACGUGACCGCAACCUCUUGUUGCCUCUUCCAAAUACUUAUUUUAUUAUCUUUUUUGAUAAUUGAGAUCGGUUUAUAGAGGCUAACUAGAGGGACCGCUGACAACUUUUAAAACAGAGGAAGGUUGCGGCAAUAACAGGUCUGUGAUGCCCUUAGAUGUUCCGGGCUGCACACGUGCUACAAUGAUUAUUGCACUGAGCAUCUAAUUUUAUUAAAAGUCCGUUUGGUUUAAUUUGAUCUUAACAGAUUAAAUAAAACUAACGACAUUUCCUACUUCGAAAGUAAGUAGGU